GACGAACGCUGGCGGCGUGCUUAACACAUGCAAGUCGAACGGAAAGGCCCUGCUUUUGUGGGGUGCUCGAGUGGCGAACGGGUGAGUAACACGUGAGUAACCUGCCCCUGACUUUGGGAUAACUUCAGGAAACUGGGGCUAAUACCGGAUAGGAGCUCCUGCUGCAUGGUGGGGGUUGGAAAGUUUCGGCGGUUGGGGAUGGACUCGCGGCUUAUCAGCUUGUUGGUGGGGUAGUGGCUUACCAAGGCUUUGACGGGUAGCCGGCCUGAGAGGGUGACCGGCCACAUUGGGACUGAGAUACGGCCCAGACUCCUACGGGAGGCAGCAGUGGGGAAUAUUGCACAGUGGGCGGAAGCCUGAUGCAGCAACGCCGCGUGCGGGAUGACGGCCUUCGGGUUGUGAACCGCUUUCGCCUGUGACGAAGCGUGAGUGACGGUAAUGGGUAAAGAAGCACCGGCUAACUACGUG
rnacentral:rRNA from 1 species